rnacentral:misc_RNA from 1 species
GCAAACUUGGUCAUUUAGAGGAAGUAAAAGUCGUAACAAGGUUUCCGUAGGUGAACCUGCGGAAGGAUCAUUACAAAUCCAUCACGUCAUCUCACCAUGACAAUGUUGAACUGUUCCCCUUCGCGCAGAGUGAAUGGCCGCUGGCUGUGGGUGGCAACACCACAACACGUUCAUUCUACUGCGUGAAAACACCUCAAACCAGUGUGACACCUCUUAUUCCAUGAGCGAUGGCUCUUUAAACACAUACCACAAAUAACCUAGAAACAACUUAUAACAAUGGAUCUCUAGGCUCUUGCAUCGAUGAAGAACGCAGC